rnacentral:lncRNA from 1 species
UAAAUGAUUAUAUAUUUCUUUGAGAUAUUAAUAUCUUUUGCCCGUAGUGCAAAGAUGCACCUAUUAGUAUGAUUAUGAACAGAAAUUGUGAUUUGGUAUAACCAUGAUCUUUGUUGUUUCAGGUAAAAAUAUGUGAUGAAAAUUAUCUUCGUCCUGAAUAAGAAGAGGAAUUUAGAACCUCAAAUAUGAUUAUGAGUUAUUCACAUGAUUGUGGACAACAACUGUUGAUUGAUUUUACAGGGAUUAAACAUUGUUGGUGGACUUUUAACAUGGAG